UACGUAGGGGGCUAGCGUUGUCCGGAAUCAUUGGGCGUAAAGCGCGCGUAGGCGGCCCGGUAAGUCCGCUGUGAAAGUCCAGGGCUCAACCCUGGGAUGCCGGUGGAUACUGUCGGGCUCGAGUCCGGAAGAGGAGUGUGGAAUUCCUGGUGUAGCGGUGAAAUGCGCAGAUAUCAGGAGGAACACCAAUGGCGAAGGCAGCACUCGUGG
rnacentral:rRNA from 1 species